GAUGAACGCUGGCGGCGUGCUUAACACAUGCAAGUCGAACGAUGAAGCCCAGCUUGCUGGGUGGAUUAGUGGCGAACGGGUGAGUAACACGUGAGUAACCUGCCCUUGACUCUGGGAUAAGCCUGGGAAACUGGGUCUAAUACUGGAUAUGACUUCUCAUCGCAUGGUGGGGGGUGGAAAGAUUUAUUGGUCUUGGAUGGACUCGCGGCCUAUCAGCUUGUUGGUGAGGUAAUGGCUCACCAAGGCGACGACGGGUAGCCGGCCUGAGAGGGUGACCGGCCACACUGGGACUGAGACACGGCCCAGACUCCUACGGGAGGCAGCAGUAGGGAAUAUUGCACAAUGGGCGCAAGCCUGAUGCAGCGACGCCGCGUGAGGGAUGACGGCCUUCGGGUUGUAAACCUCUUUCAGUAGGGAAGAAGCGAGAGUGACGGUACCUGCAGAAGAAGCGCCGGCUAACUACGUG
rnacentral:rRNA from 1 species